rnacentral:rRNA from 1 species
CCUACGGGCGGCAGCAGUGGGGAAUAUUGGACAAUGGGGGGAACCCUGAUCCAGCCAUGCCGCGUGUGUGAAGAAGGCCCUCGGGUUGUAAAGCACUUUCAGUGAGGAAGAACGCCUGGUGGUUAAUACCCAUCAGGAAAGACAUCACUCACAGAAGAAGCACCGGCUAACUCCGUGCCAGCAGCCGCGGUAAUACGGAGGGUGCGAGCGUUAAUCGGAAUUACUGGGCGUAAAGCGCGCGUAGGUGGCUUGAUAAGCCGGUUGUGAAAGCCCCGGGCUCAACCUGGGAACGGCAUCCGGAACUGUCAAGCUAGAGUGCAGGAGAGGAAGGUAGAAUUCCCGGUGUAGCGGUGAAAUGCGUAGAGAUCGGGAGGAAUACCAGUGGCGAGGGCGGCCUUCUGGACUGACACUGACACUGAGGUGCGAAAGCGUGGGUAGCAAACAGGAUUAGAUACCCUUGUAGUC